CCCUGGCGGAAGGCACUAGACCAUCCAUUGGCUGCGUCUGUCUCGGCCCAAAUCGGCUAUUGGCUACGUGGGCCUCGGCAGGGGUCAGCUAUUGGGUGUGUGGGGCAGGAACGAUGUCCCCCGAGGCCAGGGUGCCGCGAAUGGUACCUCCCCGUACCCUCGACCUAUUGGCGCCGGACCUUCCGAGUACCCCGAGCCAUGUUUCUCCCGAAAUCCCCCAAGGAGAGGCGCAGCACUUUGCUGAACUGUCGGGACCGCCAACAACUCCGCAUUAGUCGCCUCCUGGAGGAAGCCCUCCUGCAAGACCUUGUCAGCGUCCGCUCUCUGGCCUUCCACUCGCCCGGCCGCCGCCGCGCUCGCCGUGACGAAGCGCCUGCAGCGACCGGGCGCUUGUCGAGGUGCACCAGCUGUCUUGCCACCCGGAAAGACGAGGGCCUUCGACUGGUGUUCGCAAAGACGACCUGCCGGGGCGGGCACCUGCCGGGUGCCUCGCAGAGCCUCAGGCUCCCCUCCCCGCCCUGGUAAUGGGGACGCAGAGCUCUGCCUCCUCUCUCGGGGAUCCCGGUGUUCGCUGUCAAGAAAGAGAUGAAGAUAAAGCGAACUUUGCUGGGAUGCCUGUCCUGCACCGCCGGAAGUUCACGGCCAAAAUGUGUGUUUAGAAUUCUCCGUCUUCUAAAACUUGAGAAUACUUCCCGAAGUGACUCUUGUAUAUAUAUUUUUAAGUCUCUUUUUGACUUCUUAGGUCACUUAAUUAACAGCUUCUACGUGAUGACAGUUUGUAAUAACUUCAGACUUGUAUUCUCACACCUCACCUCUCCACCUCCCUGCAUCCCAAGAAACCAACCACCUGACUCCUCCGUUCCUUCUUCCUUGCUGCACCCUGAGGUCUAGAUUCUUUCAGGGUUGCCAGACAUCAGAAACACCCCUCCUUCAGUGCUGAGCCCUGUUGGAUGCGUCUGGCCCUGCCGCCUUCCCCUCGUUACAUUUGCUAUUGACCUCAACUUUUUUUUUUCUUUUGACAGGCAGAGUGGACAGUGAGAUAGAGAGAGAGACAGAGAGAAAGGUCUUCCUUUUCCGUUGGUUCACCCUUCAAUGGCCGCUGCAGCCAGCGCGCUGCAGCCGGCGCACCGCACUGAUCCGAAGCCAGGAACCAGGAGCCAGGUGCUUCUCCUGGUCUCCCAUGCGGGUGCAGGGCCCAAGGACUUGGACCAUCCUCCACCGCACUCCCGGGCCACAGCAGAGAGCUGGACUGGAAAAGGAGCAACCGGGACAGAACCGGCACCCCGACCGGGACUAGAACCCGGGGUGCUGUCGCCGCAGGCAGAGGAUUAGCCUAGUGAGUCGCGGUGCCCGCCACGACCUCAAAUUUUAAGAGCCAGUCCCGCGCCCUUCAAACUAACGCCCAGCAAAAACAUGAUAGCGGUUAGGGUUAGGGCUAGGGUUAGGGUUAGGGUUAGGGUUAGGGUUAGGGUUAGGGUUAGGGUUAGGGUUAGGGCUAGGGUUAGAAGCGUUUCAUGCCUCAGGCUGUGAGCCAGGCUGUUGGUGUGGACAGAGCUUGUCCACAGUCGGGACCGCGGCAGUGCCGAACUGGAGUGUGUCUGCAAUGAGAGGGGGAAGAGUGGGAUAUUUCAGGUGUGGGCAGCCCUCAGCGACCAGUGCAGGGGUCAUUCCCUCACAACUUAAGGAGACUGGAUUGACUGGGAUAAAUCCGAGCUUGUUUGGCUGGAAGGGAGGCCAGGCAGGAGCUGUCUGUGGGAACUAAGCCCAUGAACCUGUGGUUUGCUAAGUCACUCUGGGCAGUGCUGAUCCUGGGCUUGGAAUUACAAAAGGACAGUCCCCUGCCAGCCCUUCCAGGGACUAACGCUGGAGAAUGUGAUGCCUGUCAUCUGCCCUUUGCACGGCUCAGACAUUAGCAGUGCUGACCAGAGGCACGCUCGCCCUACAGCUGGAGGCCCUGCAGGUGCAGCGUCCUCCCUGUCACAGACCUUCACCACUGGAGGAGCUGCAGCAACACGCCAACAUCGUCACAGGUUUUUCUAAAACUUGGGAAAAAAAAAAAAACACCCCAAACUGGAAUUGACUGGUAUCUCCUUCUUGACUUGACCUCUGUCACAUGUCCCUUUCUCAGGUGUCCACAGAGAGGUGAUGGGCACUUGGAGACUGGCUGAGGGAGCUGAGGAGGGAUCACGUGUACUGUGGGGUUAGUAGGUAUACUUGAUGGGUUUUGCAGUUACUUCUGUGAAUAGAAUCAAUUAUCCCCAGGUGGAUACAGUGUUAUGGAUUAAACUGUGUCCUCCCAAACUUAGGGUUAACGUCCUGUCCCCCCACACGUAGCUUCGUGUGGAGUUAGGUUGUUUCUCGAGGUGAUUAAGUUCAGCUGAGAUGGAUGAAUUAGGGUGGGUCCUAACACAGUGUGACUGCUGACCUUCCACGAGAAAAUCUGGGCACAGACUUGUGAUGCACAGGCAGAGGGAAGACCAUGAGCAGACAGCCUUCUACAAUCAAGGACAGAAGCCUCAGGAUGCAGUCAGCUCAGCCAGUGCCCUUGUCUUGGACCUCUAGUCUCCAGGACUGAGAAAACAAAUUUAGCACACACCCAGUCUCUGCUAUUUUUGUAUGGCAGCCCUGAAAAAUUAAAUUACUUAUAUGUUUUAAAAAUGUGUAUUUACUGCCAUUUUAUUUGAAAGUCAGAAAGAGAGAUCUUCCCUCUGCUGGAACACUCCUGAAAUGCCUCAAUAGCCAGCACUGGGCUAGGCCAAAGCCGGGAGCCCAGAACUCAAUCUAGGCUGGCAGGCAACCAAGGACUUGAGCCAUCACCCGCUGCCUCCUAGUGUGUGCAUUAGCAGGAAGCUGGAUCAGGAAUGGAGGAGCCUAGAGGAGCUGGGACUCCAAACAAGCACUCUGAUGCGAGACGGGAGUGUCUCGGCUGCUGACUUAACUUCUGAGCCAAAUGCCUGCCUGUAUGUUUAUUUCCAUUUUUUAUUUGAAAGGCAGAGAUCAAGCUGAGACCAGGAGCACAGAACUCAAUCCAGGUUUCCCAUGUGGGUGGCAAGGAUCCAAGCACCUAAACCACCACUGCUGCUACCCAGAGUGUGCAUCAGUGAGAAGUUGUAUUGGAAGCAGAGUCAGGACUUGAACCAAGCACUCCCAUACAAGUUGCAGGUGCCCCAAGCAGCAACCUAAGCACUGUGCUACAAAUGUGCCUGCCCCCAAACUAAUAUUUAUAGUUCCCAUUAUUCUUUUUUUUUUUUUUUUUUUGACAGGCAGAGUGGACAGUGAGAGAGAGAGACAGAAAGAAAGGUCUUCCUUUUGCCGUUGGUUCACCCUCCAGUGGCCGCUGCGGCCGGCGCACCAUGCUGAUCCAAAGCCAGGAGCCAGGUGCUGGUCUCCCAUGGGGUGCAGGGCCCAAGCACUUGGGCCAUCCUCCAUUGCACUCCGUGGCCACAGCAGAGAGCUGGCCUGGCAGAGGGGCAACCGGGACAGAAUCCGGCGCCCUGACCAGGACUAGAACCCAGUGUGCCGGUGCCACAGGCGGAGGAUUAGCCUAGUGAGCCGCGGCGCCGGCUAGUUCCCAUUAUUCUUGAUACUAUCAAUUCAGAAUAUACGACAUUAGCCAUUACAAAUUCGAAAAGCUCCAAAAUUUUAUAGUGGUUUUACCAAGUUUGACAAAAAUUCUAAACAUUUAUGAAAGUAUCACAAGGCAUGGGGGCAAAAUUUUUUUAAAUUAACAAUACAAAAGUGAUCAUGUUAGAAGACUCAUAGAAAACAUACAAUCAUUAUACGAAAAGGCUAUCAAAGGCUGUUGGCAAAAAAAGUGGAAAUAUGAAUAAUUUUAGGCAGAUAUUUGGCAGCUUUUUAAAAAAUUGUAAUUUGUCAUUCUGAAAAUAUCAUAAUUUUGUAUUUAAUUUUCUUAAAGGGGCUCCAAAAGUUGCAUACUUCAGGUACCCAGAAGCCUGGCUCCAGCCUAGGACUACCAGAUGGCCAUGGAGGAAGCAAUGGAAACUAGUAGCAGGAAAUGACAUACGUCUGAUGUUAUCCUUUGUCAUGAGAAGGCUUGAGCCCGACUGUACAGGGACCGCUCAGCCUGGGGAUGGAUGUGAUCAGGAAGCCUGGGUUUGAGCCCAUCUUG